UACGUAGGGGGCAAGCGUUGUCCGGAAUCACUGGGCGUAAAGCGUGCGUAGGCGGUUGCGUGUGUCUGGGGUGAAAGUCCAGGGCUCAACCCUGGGAUUGCUUUGGAAACUGGCAGACUUGAGUGCUGGAGAGGCAAGGGGAAUUCCACGUGUAGCGGUGAAAUGCGUAGAUAUGUGGAGGAAUACCAGUGGCGAAGGCGCCUUGCUGGACAGUGACUGACGCUGAGGCACGAAAGCGUGGGGAGCAAACAGG
rnacentral:rRNA from 1 species